rnacentral:misc_RNA from 1 species
CUGAGUUAGGGUGGCUCCGCCGCCCGACCUCCCAACCCUUUGUUUAAACCGACCCACGUUGCUUCGGCGAGCCGCGCCCCUCAGGGGGAGCGCCGGGGGCUUCGCCGCCCCUGGAGAGCGCCCGUCGACAGCCAAUUUUAAACUCUUUACAAAAUACCUACCUAAAACUUGUAUAUCUUCAAUGAUAAAACA